rnacentral:rRNA from 1 species
UACUGAGGGGGCUAGCGUUGUUCUGAAUUACUGUGCGUAAAGCGCACGUAGUCGGCUUUGUAAGUUAGAGGUGAAAGCCCGGGGCUCAACUCCGGAACUGCCUUUAAGACUGCAUCGCUAGAAUUGUGGAGAGGUGAGUGGAAUUCCGAGUGUAGAGGUGAAAUUCGUAGAUAUUCGGAAGAACACCAGUGGCGAAGGCGACUCACUGGACACAUAUUGACGCUGAGGUGCGAAAGCGUGGGGAGCAAACAGG